GCGUGCCCGUGGUGCUUAUCGCCGGGCGACACUUGCCGCGCCGCAUUCAGUUGCCUACCACUUGCCACUUGCCACUUGCCGCUUUCCACUUGCCACAUUCCACUUGCAACUUGCAACUGGCAACAGGGGCCGUGGCAUUUCCGUUGCCUGGGCACGCGCUUGUUAGAAGCGAAGCUCUUAACGAUAUCGUGUCAUUUUUUGCAUUUCCUUGUGCAUUGCUUUCAGUUUUUCCAGCGCUUUGCUGUAUUUUCUUUAUAUUUGCUUUCCUUUUCCUUCUUCGUUUUUCCUGCAUUUUCUCCAUUUUUGCGGUUGCCGCCCUCAAGUGUGCGACGGCCUUAUCGCGUGCGACGCGGUGGCACCUACAGACAGUGGUGCAAUGGCAACGGCCAAAGGCGGCAGCCAAGUGAUUUUGGCCAAGGCAGAAUUAAGCUCAGUUGCUGCAGCUCGCCAAAUAAAUCACACGCCAGCAGACAGUCAACCAAAGAGAUAGAGAGAGAGAGAGAGGGAGGGAGAGAGCUCUAGUAUUAUAAUAAAUAAGUCGAGUUUGCAUGUUUGUCUUGAGUCUAGCACUUCUCACGUGUCAGUCGUUAGGCCACAGGCCACACAGGCUUCAUCUGCAAUGCAGCUGCAGCAGCAUCGAUUCUGGCCAAGACGAGCUUGCAACAUCAGCAGCUGGCAUAUGAUUUGCAAUGCGAAGACGCCGGCUGCAAUUAGAGGCAGCGACUCGAGCGCUGUCAAGUGCGCUGAAAAGUAUGCUAAGCUUAAUGCCGAAUAGCUGCGACUCGGCUCGUUCAAUUAAAAUGCAGAAAUAUUAGAGAGCAGGAGAGGGAGAGGGAGAGGGGAGAGUGCAAGGCAGAGAUAGGGAUAGCGAGACAAGUUGAACACAGCAAUUGCGACGCCUUGUCCAGCCACGCCCAUGACGCUGCUGAUGCUGAUGCUGAUGCCUGGCCAUGGCCAUGGCUAUAAUGCACUGUGAUUAAUUUCAACGCCCAGCAACGUUUGUAACCCAUUUGCAUGCGCUGCUCGUGCCUCGAGAGUCGUGACAGGAUAAUCCCCAGCUCGUUGUCCUUACCAAGUUCGCCCGGUCUGGCCGCUGUUUUAAGUAAUUUUUUAAGGAAACCAAAGAAAUUAAAAAAGCUGAAGGAUAAGACUUAAGGGUCCAGUCUACCUGGCAACCUGUCCUGUCCUGUCCUGUCUUGUCCGGAUGCUGCCCGUGCAGCGAGACAGCGCGCGAGUGAGAGAGAGCGAGUGAGUGAGUGAGUGAGUGAGUGAGCGAGACAGCGAACGCGUCGUUUGGCAAAAAUAUUACAAAAAACGUGCCAAACGUUUAUUUAAAAGGAUUUAUGUGCGUUACGUGCUAAAUGUGAAAUAAUAAUUUCUCGUAUUUUUUGCAAUUUUUUCUCUCUCUCGAAUUUUGUUAUUUUUAAUGCCAUUUUUAAUGCCGCACAGUGUACAAUGCAAUGCCAAAGCGUGUGAGUGUGUGUGUGUGUGAGAGAGAGAGCAGAGGGAAAAACAUUUUGUGGCUGUGGCAUUAACUCAAGUCCUUUUGCCAUUUUUAUUGAGCUGGCGAACGCGUGAAAUUGUUGUGGGCCGCUAGCAACGUGAGGCAACUCUUUGGCAGAGAUUUUGCUCGGCCCGGGACUUAAUUGCAUUUGAAGUUGCCUGCCAGAGCCGUUGGCCGGCUCGCCGGCUCUGUGCUGCUGUGCUGCUGUGGUGCUGUGGUGCUGUGGUGCUGUGGUGCUCUUAAGUGCUGCGUCUACAGCCUGAAAGGAAAAGUUUUCUUUUCUGUUCUCUCUCCCUCUCAUCCUCCCUCUCUUUCCCUCUUGCCUACAUCUUUCAUUUUGUGGCUGUUGUUGCUUUGCGGCUGCCAAUGCCAAUUUAUGGCUGGUUCUCUAUCUCUGGCUCUGCCCACGCUCCCGGCUGCCUUAGUCGCAUUGAAAUCGAAAAUGCGUAGAUGGCUGGGGAAUACUGCCCAUAUAUUUAUAUACAUACAAUAUAUACUUUUGUGUAGACAGAUCGAGAAAUAGUUGAAGCAGGAGGCGGGGACAUUAGCUGCUGCUGGCCAACAGUUGCAGCUAAAUGAAGUAAAGAGCUCAUAAUGGAGCACUAACAGAGUUAUUUAACGCACACCCAACUUACCAGCAGCAAAAAUUGAUCAAAUUCGAUGGUUUGGGGCAAUGUUGAUUUAUGCGAUGUUGGCAGACAACUGUAUAAGCAAAUUGCGUGACUGGCUAAUUGAAAUGAGUAAGAAAUGAGUAAGAAACGUGGGCGAGCUGAA